rnacentral:rRNA from 1 species
GAUGAACGCUAGCUACAGGCUUAACACAUGCAAGUCGCGGGGCAGCAUGGGGGUUGCUUGCAAUCCCCGAUGGCGACCGGCGCACGGGUGAGUAACGCGUAUCCAACCUGCCCUUCACCACGGGAUAACCCGGCGAAAGUCGGACUAAUACCGUAUGUUGUCCAUUGACGGCAUCCGAUUUGGACGAAAGGUUUGGCGGUGAAGGAUGGGGAUGCGUCCGAUUAGCUGGACGGCGGGGUGACGGCCCACCGUGGCGACGAUCGGUAGGGGUUCUGAGAGGGAGGUCCCCCACACUGGAACUGAGACACGGUCCAGACUCCUACGGGAGGCAGCAGUGAGGAAUAUUGGUCAAUGGGCGUAAGCCUGAACCAGCCAAGUAGCGUGCAGGAGGACGGCCCUAUGGGUUGUAAACUGCUUUUAUGCGGGGAUAAAGUGGCCCACGUGUGGGUUUUUGCAGGUACCGCAUGAAUAAGGACCGGCUAAUUCCGUG